GAUGAACGCUGGCGGUAUGCUUAACACAUGCAAGUCGAACGGACUCUUCGGAGUUAGUGGCGGACGGGUGAGUAACGCGUGAGAAUCUGGCUUUGGGUUCGGGACAACCACUGGAAACGGUGGCUAAUACCGGAUGUGCCGAGAGGUAAAAGAGAAAUUGCCUGAAGAUGAGCUCGCGUCUGAUUAGCUAGUUGGUGAGGUAAAGGCUCACCAAGGCAGCGAUCAGUAGCUGGUCUGAGAGGAUGACCAGCCACACUGGGACUGAGACACGGCCCAGACUCCUACGGGAGGAAGGAGUGGGGAAUUUUCCGCAAUGGGCGAAAGCCUGACGGAGCAAUACCGCGUGAGGGAAGAAGGCUCUUGGGUUGUAAACCUCUUUUCUUAGGGAAGAACAAAAUGACGGUACCUAAGGAAUCAGCGUCGGCUAACUCCGUGC
rnacentral:rRNA from 1 species